GGGGAAUUUUGGACAAUGGGCGCAAGCCUGAUCCAGCCAUGCCGCGUGCGGGAAGAAGGCCUUCGGGUUGUAAACCGCUUUCGUCAGGGAAGAAAUCUUCUGGGUUAAUACCUCGGGAGGAUGACGGUACCUGAAGAAUAAGCACCGGCUAACUACGUGCCAGCAGCCGCGGUAAUACGUAGGUGGCAAGCGUUGUCCGGAUUUACUGGGCGUAAAGGGCGUGCAGGCGGUUUGCUAAGUCUAGGGUGAAAGCUCCCGGCUUAACUGGGAGAGGUCCUUGGAUACUGGCAGACUUGAGGAGGGUAGAGGAGAGUGGAAUUCCCGGUGUAGUGGUGAUAUGCGUAGAUAUCGGGAGGAACACCAGUGGCGAAGGCGGCUCUCUGGGCCCUACCUGACGCUGAGACGCGAAAGCGUGGGGAGCGAA
rnacentral:rRNA from 1 species